rnacentral:rRNA from 1 species
GGGAAUCUCUUAUCGCUCAAAGACCCAAUCGGCGCUGAUGUCAGAUUUUUAUCCAGUUUGACCUCGGAUCAGGUAGGAGUACCCGCUGAACUUAAGCAUAUCAAUA